rnacentral:lncRNA from 1 species
CCUGCAGGCAGUGUGCAUGUGAGCGUGUGUGAGUGUGCGUAUGGAUGCGCAUGCAUAUGUGCAUGUAUGUGUGCAUGUGUAUGUGCGUGCAUCUAUGUGCAUGUAUGUGUAUGCAUGUGUGUGCGUGGGCGUGCACAUAUGUGCAUGAAGUUGUAGUUGCACGCGUUUGCACAUGCGUGUGUGCACACAUGUAUGUGUGCGUGCAGAGGGGACGUGUCCUCCUUGAGGCAGUAGGGAGUCCUGGCCCCUUUGUAGUAUGGAGCAUGGUCUCCCCAUGUCCCUGCCCCCCCAGCCCCAGGCAGCCCUGCUCCCUGGCCUGGCUCUAGCUCCCCAUGCCAUGUUCCCAUCCCACAUCUGUGUCUCCAUGCCAUGUCCCAUGUCCAGAUCCCUGCUCUGACUUCAGGUCCCAGUGCCCUUGUCCCUGCUCUAUACCCCCAUACAUGUCCCAGCUUCAUGUCCCCAUGUCAUAUUCCUAUCUUAGUUCCACGUCCCCAUGCCACAUCCCAUCUCCAUGUCCCCCUGCCAUGUUCCUGUCCCAGCUCCAUGUCCUCAUGCCAUGUCCCAGCUCAACAUCUCCACGCCAUGUCCAAGCUUCACGUCCUCAUGUUGCACCACAGCUCCAUGUCUCCAAGCCACGUCCUGUUCCACAUCCUCAUGCCAUAUCUGAGCUCAACACCACCCAUGUUCCUGUCCCAACCUCACGCCCCCAUGCCCUUCUCCAACCUCACAUCCCCAUGCCAUAUUCCUGUUCUAGCUGCUCCACGUCCCCAUGUCACACCCCAGCUCCAUGUCCCCAUGCCGUGUCCCAGCUCAACAUCCCCAUGCCAUAUCCCAUCUCCAUGCCCCCACGUCCCGCCCCAUCUCCAUGUUCCCAACUCACAUCCCAGCAGCACGUCCCCACGCCACGUCUCAGCUCCAUUUUCACACCCCCACUCCACGUCCCUACCCCACAUCCCCACGCCUCGACCCCACGAAGGACCGGCACCAGAACCGCCGCGCUCGGCGACUCUCCCCACUCUGCCGGUCCCACGGGAGAUCCUCGAGGGGGGAGAAGCGAUGCCGUGCCCGAGUCCACCAGAGUGCACGCGUGGCCGCCUCUCGCGUGGGAGCCCCCGGCUGAGGUCUCAGCGUGCGCCCGCAUCCCCCCCGCCGCGCGUCCCCGCCGCGCGUCCCCGCGUCCCC